rnacentral:rRNA from 1 species
GACGUAGGGCGCGAGCGUUGUCCGGAUUUAUUGGGCGUAAAGAGCUCGUAGGCGGCUUGUCGCGUCGACUGUGAAAUCCCGCGGCUCAACCGCGGGCUUGCAGUCGAUACGGGCAGGCUUGAGUUCGGUAGGGGAGACUGGAAUUCCUGGUGUAGCGGUGAAAUGCGCAGAUAUCAGGAGGAACACCGGUGGCGAAGGCGGUUCUCUGGGCAUUACCUGACGCUGAGGAGCGAAAGUGUGGGGAGCGAACAGG